GAUGAAGAACGCAGCGAAAUGCGAUAAGUAAUGCGAAUUGCAGAAUCCGUGAGUCAUCGAAUCUUUGAACGCACAUUGCGCCCCUUGGUUAUUCCGAAGGGCAUGCCUGUUCGAGCGUCAUUUCAACCAUCAAGCCCCCAGGGGCUUGUGCUGGGGCCCUGCGGCUGCCCGCAGGCCCUGAAAACCAGUGGCGGGCUCGCUAGUCACACCGAGCGCAGUAGCACAUCUCGCUCAGGGCGUGCGGCGGGCUCCUGCCGUGAAACCCCCCACUGUAACCCCAAAGGUUGACCUCGGAUCAGGUAGGAAUACCCGCUGAACUUAAGCAUAUCAAUAAGCGGAGGA
rnacentral:misc_RNA from 1 species